rnacentral:rRNA from 1 species
UUAAUUGAAGAGUUUGAUCAUGGCUCAGAUUGAACGCUGGCGGCAGGCCUAACACAUGCAAGUCGAGCGGUAACAGAAAGUAGCUUGCUACUUUGCUGACGAGCGGCGGACGGGUGAGUAAUGCUUGGGAACAUGCCUUGAGGUGGGGGACAACAGUUGGAAACGACUGCUAAUACCGCAUAAUGUCUACGGACCAAAGGGGGCUUCGGCUCUCGCCUUUAGAUUGGCCCAAGUGGGAUUAGCUAGUUGGUGAGGUAAUGGCUCACCAAGGCGACGAUCCCUAGCUGGUUUGAGAGGAUGAUCAGCCACACUGGGACUGAGACACGGCCCAGACUCCUACGGGAGGCAGCAGUGGGGAAUAUUGCACAAUGGGCGCAAGCCUGAUGCAGCCAUGCCGCGUGUGUGAAGAAGGCCUUCGGGUUGUAAAGCACUUUCAGUCAGGAGGAAAGGGAUGUAGUUAAUACCUGCAUCCUGUGACGUUACUGACAGAAGAAGCACCGGCUAACUCCGUGCCAGCAGCCGCGGUAAUACGGAGGGUGCGAGCGUUAAUCGGAAUUAC